GGAAGUGGGGAUGAUGUCAAGUCAGCAUGGCCUUUAUAUCCUCGGGCUACACACACGCUACCAAUGGCCAGCACAGUAGGUUGCUAAGCCGCGAGGUGGAGCCAAUCCAUAAAGCUGGUCUCAGUUCAGAUUGCAGGCUGCAACCCGCCUGCAUGAAGAUGGAGUUGCUAGUAACCGCAGGUCAGCUAUACUGCGGUGAAUACGUUCCCGGGGCUU
rnacentral:rRNA from 1 species